rnacentral:rRNA from 1 species
GACGGAGGAUGCAAGCGUUAUCCGGAAUGAUUGGGCGUAAAGCGUCCGCAGGUGGCAGUUCAAGUCUGCUGUCAAAGACCGGGGCUUAACUUCGGAAAGGCAGUGGAAACUGAACAGCUAGAGUAUGGUAGGGGCAGAGGGAAUUCCUGGUGUAGCGGUGAAAUGCGUAGAGAUGUGGAGGAACACCAGUGGCGAAGGCGACUUUCUGGGCUGUAACUGACGCUGAGGCGCGAAAGCGUGGGGAGCAAACAGG